AUUGAACGCUGGCGGCAUGCCUUACACAUGCAAGUCGAACGGCAGCACGGGGCAACCUGGUGGCGAGUGGCGAACGGGUGAGUAAUGCAUCGGAACGUGCCAUUGAGUGGGGGAUAACGUAGCGAAAGUUGCGCUAAUACCGCAUAUUCUGUGAGCAGGAAAGCAGGGGACCGCAAGGCCUUGCGCUCUUUGAGCGGCCGAUGUCAGAUUAGCUAGUUGGUGAGGUAACGGCUUACCAAGGCGACGAUCUGUAGCGGGUCUGAGAGGAUGAUCCGCCACACUGGAACUGAGACACGGUCCAGACUCCUACGGAGGCAGCAGUGGGGAAUUUUGGACAAUGGGCGCAAGCCUGAUCCAGCCAUGCCGCGUGAGUGAAG
rnacentral:rRNA from 1 species